AUAUUGGACAAUGGGGGCAACCCUGAUCCAGCCAUGCCGCGUGUGUGAAGAAGGCCUUCGGGUUGUAAAGCACUUUAGGUCGGGAGGAAAGUUCGCUGGCUAAUAUCCAGCGGAAUUGACGUUACCGCCAGAAUAAGCCACGGCUAACUACGUGCCAGCAGCCGCGGUAAUACGUAGGUGGCAAGCGUUGUCCGGAUUCAUUGGGUUUAAAGGGUGCGUAGGCGGCUAAUUAAGUCAGUGCUGAAAUAUCACAGCUUAACUGUGAGGGUGGCAUGGAUACUGGAUAGCUUGAGUACAGACGAGGUAGGCGGAAUUGACGGUGUAGCGGUGAAAUGCAUAGAUAUCGUCAAGAACACCGAUAGUGUAGACAGCUUACUAGACUGUAACUGACGCUGAGGCACGAAAGUGUGGGGAUCAA
rnacentral:rRNA from 1 species